rnacentral:rRNA from 1 species
UACGUAGGGGGCUAGCGUUGUUCGGAAUCACUGGGCGUAAAGGGCGCGUAGGCGGCCCAUCAAGUCGGGGGUGAAAGCCCGUGGCUCAACCACGGAAUGGCCUUCGAUACUGGUAGGCUUGAGACCGGAAGAGGACAGCGGAACUGCGAGUGUAGAGGUGAAAUUCGUAGAUAUUCGCAGGAACACCAGUGGCGAAGGCGGCUGUCUGGUCCGGUUCUGACGCUGAGGCGCGAAAGCGUGGGGAGCAAACAGG